CCUACGGGUGGCAGCAGUGGGGAAUAUUGGACAAUGGGCGAAAGCCUGAUCCAGCCAUGCCGCGUGUGUGAAGAAGGCCUUCGGGUUGUAAAGCACUUUCAGUGGGGAAGAAAGCCUUGGGGCUAAUACCCUCGAGGAAGGACAUCACCCACAGAAGAAGCACCGGCUAACUCCGUGCCAGCAGCCGCGGUAAUACGGAGGGUGCGAGCGUUAAUCGGAAUUACUGGGCGUAAAGCGCGCGUAGGCGGUCUGAUAAGCCGGUUGUGAAAGCCCCGGGCUCAACCUGGGAACGGCAUCCGGAACUGUCAGGAUAGAGUGCAGGAGAGGAAGGUAGAAUUCCCGGUGUAGCGGUGAAAUGCGUAGAGAUCGGGAGGAAUACCAGUGGCGAAGGCGGCCUUCUGGACUGACACUGACGCUGAGGUGCGAAAGCGUGGGUAGCAAACAGGAUUAGAUACCCUAGUAGUC
rnacentral:rRNA from 1 species